rnacentral:rRNA from 1 species
GACGAACGCUGGCGGCGUGCCUAAUACAUGCAAGUUGAGCGCUGAAGGUUGGUACUUGUACCGACUGGAUGAGCAGCGAACGGGUGAGUAACGCGUGGGGAAUCUGCCUUUGAGCGGGGGACAACAUUUGGAAACGAAUGCUAAUACCGCAUAAAAACUUUAAACACAAGUUUUAAGUUUGAAAGAUGCAAUUGCAUCACUCAAAGAUGAUCCCGCGUUGUAUUAGCUAGUUGGUGAGGUAAAGGCUCACCAAGGCGAUGAUACAUAGCUGACCUGAGAGGGUGAUCGGCCACAUUGGGACUGAGACACGGCCCAAACUCCUACGGGAGGCAGCAGUAGGGAAUCUUCGGCAAUGGACGAAAGUCUGACCGAGCAACGCCGCGUGAGUGAAGAAGGUUUUCGGAUCGUAAAACUCUGUUGGUAGAGAAGAACGUUGGUGAGAGUGGAAAGCUCAUCAAGUGGCGGUAACUACCCAGAAAGGGACGGCUAACUACGUGCCAGCAGCCGCCGUAA